CUAGCCUGCUUGGUUUGUGACCUGUGGAGGGACACACACCCACAAGUUCAAGGAAGAGCAAGCAUGUCAAAGCUGGUGUCUAUCAGAAAAGAGAGGGAGAGGGCUGAAGGCAGGGGAAAAUCAGCUGUCCUGAGACCCCAUAGUGGAUGUGUGAGUGUGGUUGUCAGGAAGGAGAUUUUUUCUUUCCUCUGAUGUUUCUAAAAUUCCUACCUUAUUUGUCUCUAAUUGUAGGUUUCCCCUAAAGACAUUUGGUGUCACUGUAAGGACAGCAUUUCUCUCUCCCUCUAUGUCUGUACAGUUAUUCUCUCUCUCUCACUCUGUGCAGUUCACUCCAUAAGCCUUCGGUGAACAUACCGUAAGACACAGAUAGAGAGAGACAGACAGAUAGAAACCACACACCAACCGUCCUCCUCGCUUUCCCACCAUGGAAUAGCUAAACUUCCCCCCACCCACACCUCCAUCACCUUCCAGCGCUCCAUGAUUAUUUUGACCCUCUGGUCUUUUUUGAAGGAAGCUUCUGUCACUUCUUAACAUCACCCGCCUGGAAAAACACACACACACAUACACACACACAGACCCCCAAAUCCUUCCUCAAAGGAAGAGGUCUUUUUUUGCUCUGAUUCCAAAGCUUCAGACUUCAGCCUGAACAGACAAUUUCUUAACAUGUAUUUUCCUUUUAAACCAUCUCCUUCCUGCACACGCUCAGUACUUGCAGCUACGGAUUUAACACAACUCCCUGAUUCUUGCCUGCAGGUUCUUUGCUCCCAGUCACUCAGCUGAUCCUGAUCUUUUUCUUCCUUUUUUUUUCCCCUGGGUGCUGAGGUGUGUGUCUGUGUGUGAGUGUGUCUGUGUCUUUGCAGAAAGGUGUGUGUGGGGGGGUCUUUUUAUUUUUUUUUUUCUGGUUGGGAAUUUUUCAAACCUCUUCAUUAUUAUUUUAUUUUGCUUCUCUGACUUGGACACUUCUCCCUUGGAGAUUUCUUUUCCAUGCAAAGGUGCCAUGGACAGAGCUGUAUCCCAGAGUCCCAGCUGCAUCUGACAGUGUUAAGAUGGAGAAGAGACCAUGAAUAUUUGCUCAGAGAGAAAGCAGGGAAAUGCUAAC
rnacentral:lncRNA from 1 species